GAUUAACGCUGGCGGCGUGCAUAACACAUGCAAGUCGAACGAUGAAACUUUUUUGAUUUCUUCGGAAUGAAAAAAAGUGGAUUAGUGGCGGACGGGUGAGUAACGCGUGAGUAACCUGCCUUAGAGAAGGGGAUAGCCUUUGGAAACGAAGAAUAAUACCCUAUGAAACCAUAACCUCGCAUGAGGCCUUGGUCAAAGAUUUAUCGCUCUAAGAUGGACUUGCGUCUGAUUAGUUAGUUGGUGGGGUAACGGCCCACCAAGACAGCGAUCAGUAGCCGGCUUGAGAGAGUGUACGGCCACAUUGGGACUGAGACACGGCCCAGACUCCUACGGGAGGCAGCAGUGGGGAAUUUUGCACAAUGGGGGAAACCCUGAUGCAGCGACGCCCCGUGAUUUAUAAGGCCUUCGGGUUGUAAAAAUCUUUUCUAUGGGAAGAAAAUGACAGUACCAUAUGAAUAAGGACCGGCUAAUUACGUGCCAGCAGCCGCGGUAAUACGUAAGGUCCGAGCGUUGUCCGGAAUCAUUGGGCGUAAAGGGUACGUAGGUGGGUAAGCAAGUUAGAAGUGAAAUCCUAUAGCUCAACUAUAGUAAGCUUUUUAAACUGCUCAUUCCUGAGGUAUGGCAAGGGACAUUGGAAUUCCUAGUGUAUCCGUUGAUAUGCCCACAUUUCUCGAGGAAC
rnacentral:rRNA from 1 species